AUAAAUCACCCGGUUAUAUAUAGGAUCCACAUAAAUAUAUGAGUGCUCUUACAUCUCACAUGCCAUCACAGAACUUAGAUCUCUCAUCACAAGUAGAUUCCACCGAACAUAGAACCCUCAUCAUAUAUAGAGUGCUCUCACACAAGACAAGCCAGGAAUCAUACAACUGGCCAGUUAAAGAUGCAGUGCAGGAUAGACAGUUAAACUUGCAGUGCAGGAUAGAUUUACAUUCAUCAUUUCAC
rnacentral:lncRNA from 1 species